rnacentral:rRNA from 1 species
AUUUAAAAUCUGGUGGUCUUUGGCCAUCCGAGUUGUAAUCUAGAGAAGUGUUACCCGCGUCGGACCGUGUACAAGUCUCCUGGAAUGGAGCGUCAUAGAGGGUGAGAAUCCCGUCUUUGACACGGACUACCGAGGCUUUGUGGUGCGCUCUCAAAGAGUCGAGUUGUUUGGGAAUGCAGCUCAAAAUGGGUGGUAAAUUCCAUCUAAAGCUAAAUAUUGGCGAGAGACCGAUAGCGAACAAGUACCGUGAGGGAAAGAUGAAAAGAACUUUGGAAAGAGAGUUAAACAGUACGUGAAAUUGCUGAAAGGGAAACGCUUGAAGUCAGUCGCGUUGGCCGGAAAUCAACCCUGCUUUUGCUGGGCGUACUUUCUGGUUGACGGGCCAACAUCAGUUUUGACCGGUGGAAAAAGUCUAGGGGAAUGUGGCAUCUUCGGAUGUGUUAUAGCCCUUGGUCGUAUACAUCGGUUGGGACUGAGGAACUCAGCACGCCGCAAGGCCGGGCACGUUCGUGCUUAGGAUGUUGGCAUAAUGGCUUUAAUCGACCCGUCUUGAAACACGGACCAAGGAGUCUAACAUGCCUGCGAGUAUUUGGGUGGAAAACCCGAGUGCGUAAUGAAAGUGAUAGUUGAGAUCCCUGUCGUGGGGAGCAUCGACGCCCGGACCAGACGUUCUCUGACGGCUCCGAGGUAGAGCAUGUAUGUUGGGACCCGAAAGAUGGUGAACUAUGCCUGAAUAGGGUGAAGCCAGAGGAAACUCUGGUGGAGGCUCGUAGC